rnacentral:rRNA from 1 species
GACGAACGCUGGCGGCGUGCUUAACACAUGCAAGUCGAACGGAAAGGCCCUGCUUUUGUGGGGUGCUCGAGUGGCGAACGGGUGAGUAACACGUGAGUAACCUGCCCUUGACUUUGGGAUAACUUCAGGAAACUGGGGCUAAUACCGGAUAGGAGCUCCUGCUGCAUGGGGGGGGUUGGAAAGUUUCGGAGGUUGGGGAUGGACUCGCGGCUUAUCAGCUUGUUGGGGGGGUAGUGGCUUACCAAGGCUUUGACGGGUAGCCGGCCUGAGAGGGUGACCGGCCACAUUGGGGCUGAGAUACGGCCCAGACGCCUACGGGAGGCAGAAGUGGAGAAUAUUGCACAAUGGGCGGAAGCCUGAUGCAGCAACGCCGCGUGCGGGAUGACGGCCUUCGGGUUGUAAACCGCUUUCGCCUGUGACGAAGCGUGAGUGACGGUAAUGGGUAAAGAAGCACCGGCUAACUACGUG